rnacentral:tRNA from 1 species
UCCCAUGUGGCUCAGUUGGUAGAGCGUGUUUGCAACGCCAGGGUUGUGGGUUCGAUUCCCACGGGGGAC